rnacentral:rRNA from 1 species
CAGACGACGCUGGCGGCGUGCUUAACACAUGCAAGUCGAACGGUGACGAGGAGCUUGCUCCUCUGAUCAGUGGCGAACGGGUGAGUAACACGUGAGCAACCUGCCCCAGACUCUGGGAUAACAGUUGGAAACAGCUGCUAAUACCGGAUACGAGACGGAGAGGCAUCUCUACCGUCUGGAAAGUUUUUCGGUCUGGGAUGGACUCGCGGCCUAUCAGCUAGUUGGUGAGGUAAUGGCUCACCAAGGCGACGACGGGUAGCCGGCCUGAGAGGGCGACCGGCCACACUGGGACUGAGACACGGCCCAGACUCCUACGGGAGGCAGCAGUGGGGAAUAUUGCACAAUGGGCGAAAGCCUGAUGCAGCGACGCCGCGUGAGGGAUGACGGCCUUCGGGUUGUAAACCUCUUUCAGCAGGGAAGAAGCGAAAGUGACGGUACCUGCAGAAGAAGCACCGGCUAACUACGUG